rnacentral:rRNA from 1 species
UGGGGAAUAUUGGACAAUGGGCGAAAGCCUGAUCCAGCCACGCCGCGUGUGUGAUGAAGGCCUUCGGGUCGUAAAGCACUGUCGUGAGGGACGAAGUACUGACGGUACCUCACAAGAAAGCACCGGCUAACUCCGUGCCAGCAGCCGCGGUAAUACGGAGGGUGCAAGCGUUGCUCGGAAUUACUGGGCGUAAAGCGACCGCAGGCGGUCUGUCAGGUCGGAUGUGAAAGCCCGGGGCUCAACCCCGGAACUGCAUUCGAAACCGGCAGACUUGAGUACGGGAGAGGAGGGCGGAAUUCCUGGUGUAGAGGUGAAAUUCGUAGAUAUCAGGAGGAACGCUCGAGGCGAAGGCGGCUCUCUGGCCCGAUACUGACGCUCAUGGUCGAAAGCGUGGGGAGCGAACAGG